rnacentral:lncRNA from 1 species
GCGGCACUUGGGAAAAUGCCAUUAAAAGUCUGUUUUGAUGUAGUGUCUUUUUCUCUCUCUCAUUUCUUUUCUAUUAUUCCUUUUCUCUUCGUCAAUUUUCUUUAUCUUAACUUUCGGAGUAUAUCAAAGAGAAGAUGCAGCCAAAUCAGUUGAAGAAGGUUAGUUUCUUCUUCUUCUUCAUCUUCUUCUUUUUUGUUUAAGAUUUAUUACUACUUUUUUUUUUAACUUCAAAGUUUAGAUUUUUAGGAAUUAUAGGAUCUGGGUUUUGUGUAUCAAAGUGUAAAAGUUUUAACCUUUUGAUUUCUUUGAACGUGGUUUGAAGAUAAAACUUUCAAGGUUGUUCUUCAUUGAUGUUUUCUUGUAGGAAAAUUGAUGUGGCUUAGGUGCUAUGAUUUCAAGCUAAUAAACCUGUUUAGAUUUUAUUAAAAAAUUGAAUUAAUAUUUUUUUAUCAAAUAAUUGGAGAAGGCAGGGUUUUGGUUAAAAUUUUAUAAUUAAAAGACCAAAAAAAAAAGGUUAGAAGGUGUCAUGUAAGGUGAUAAGUUGAGAUUUUGAAGUUUAGGUUAGAUUCUUUUUAACCAAAUUGAAUUUGUUAAGUUUUGGCUUUAAUUUUCACUGAGAUUGAAGAGGACUAAUUUUGGAACUGAAUAGAGGAAAUAUAAAACUUAAUUCACACACUUGUUUAUUAAAGAAAUCAAUAUCGAUAAAGGAAGAAAAAUGAAGCUCGGUUUGUGCUUCAAUUUCAGGUUUCAAAAUCAACUUGAAGCUGGAAUUAACUUUAAAAUAAGUGGUGGCCAUUAAUCCGCUGGGUUGCUUCAAUCAUGCUAGUGCUUAAUGUUGAAAAUGUUUCUUGACGAAUGAAGAUUAUUCUAUUUGUACUGUUUUUGGUUCCUUUAUGUAUGUUCACACUUUUUCAUAGCAUGAUAAAGAUGGCUACUAAUAUUUUUGGAUUUCUUUCUAUAUUGCUUUCUUUAUCGAAAGUGGUAUUGGUUUCCUCUUUAGUUAUAUGGAGAGCAUUCCAAUAAAUGAAUCGAUUUCAAUAGAUUCUGUGUUUGAUUUUUGACUAAUAGAAAUUGCCAGGCUAAGUGCAACAU